rnacentral:rRNA from 1 species
UACGUAGGGUGCAAGCGUUGUCCGGAAUUAUUGGCGUAAAGAGCUCGUAGGCGGUCUGUCGCGUCUGCUGUGAAAACUCAGGGCUUAACCCUGAGCUUGCAGUGGGUACGGGCAGACUAGAGUGCGGUAGGGGAGACUGGAAUUCCUGGUGUAGCGGUGAAAUGCGCAGAUAUCAGGAGGAACACCGGUGGCGAAGGCGGGUCUCUGGGCCGUAACUGACGCUGAGGAGCGAAAGCAUGGGGAGCGAACAGG